rnacentral:rRNA from 1 species
GAUGAACGCUGGCGGCGUGCCUAAUACAUGCAAGUCGAGCGAACAGACGAGGAGCUUGCUCCUCUGACGUUAGCGGCGGACGGGUGAGUAACACGUGGAUAACCUACCUAUAAGACUGGGAUAACUUCGGGAAACCGGAGCUAAUACCGGAUAACAUGUUGAACCGCAUGGUUCAACAGUGAAAGACGGUCUUGCUGUCACUUAUAGAUGGAUCCGCGCCGCAUUAGCUAGUUGGUAAGGUAACGGCUUACCAAGGCAACGAUGCGUAGCCGACCUGAGAGGGUGAUCGGCCACACUGGAACUGAGACACGGUCCAGACUACUACGGGAGGCAGCAGUAGGGAAUCUUCCGCAAUGGGCGAAAGCCUGACGGAGCAACGCCGCGUGAGUGAAGAAGGUCUUCGGAUCGUAAAACUCUGUUAUUAGGGAAGAACAAAUGUGUAAGUAACUAUGCACGUCUUGACGGUACCUAAUCAGAAAGCCACGGCUAACUACGUG